rnacentral:rRNA from 1 species
GUAGUCCACGCCGUAAACGAUGAGUGCUCGAUGGUGCAGCGAUUGGGCUGCACUGUCUAAGCUAACGCGUUAAGCACUCCACCUGGGGAGUACGCUCGCAAGGGUGAAACUCAAAGGAAUUGACGGGGGCCCGCACAAGCGGUGGAGCAUGUGGAUUAAUUCGAUGCAACGCGAAGAACCUUACCCAGGCUCGAACGCUGCCGGACAGUCCCUGAAAGGGGAUCUUCUUCGGACCGGUAGCGAGGUGCUGCAUGGCUGUCGUCAGUUCGUGUCGUGAGAUGUUGGGUUAAGUCCCGCAACGAACGCAACCCCUAUCGCUAGUUACCAGCGGGUAAUGCCGGGGACUCUAGCGAGACUGCCUGCGCAAGCAGUGA